ACAGUGCUCCAUGUUUGGUGACCAGCAGAGUGGCCGGUCAGUUUGUCUGGGACUCUUUCAGUUUCGGCACUGUAAGUCCUGCCUCGUGGGGAACACUUUAGCCCCAGCAAACUGAGACAGUUGGUCACCCUAAACUGACAAGAUAUAUAGAAGUGUUUCUUAUGUGGGAGAUGAAGUUUAUGUCCCCUCCUCUUGAAUCUACGUGGGCGCUGUGACUGCUCUGACUGAUAGAAUAUGGCAGAAGUGACACGCUGCCAAUUUCUGGGCAAGAUUGGCAGCUUCUGUGUCCUGGCUUGCUGGGAAUCCUGAGCUGCAACUUAAGAAGUCUGACUGUGCUGAAGCUACCAAGCUGGAGAGGCCAUCUGUCAGCGUUUCAGUCGACUGUCCCAGCAGACCUCACUCUUCCAGCAGUCCCAACACGCCAGGCAUUGAAAGACGCCAUCUUGGUUUCUCCAAACAAGCUUACUGCCAGCCGAAUACUCUAGGUGACCUCAAUUGAUGUCAUGUGGAGCAGGAGAAUUGCCUUGCUGAGCCUUGUUAGAAUUCUUUGGCAGCAAAUUCCUGAGGAAGUGCUCGUGCUGGCCCCUCCCCAGCUCCAGCUUUGAAACAGAACUGGGUUCAGCAACUAAAAUGAAAGCACACACCAUCCCGAGCAAUUGCGUCAACAAAAGAAAAAAGAAAAAAAGAGGUGCAACACAUAUUCCUCAUCCUGCUAGAUUCCUCGAUAUGGACCAGGGAUGAGUUAUUCUUUGAUGAGUAAAUGAAAGAAGAAAGAUGCAGCUGGCAGCAAAGAGCAGCGAUAACUCGUGUCUGUUUGCCCUGAUAGCCUUCUUAGGACAUCACUUCAGAACUUUGGCUAGAACAGUGGAAAACUAAAGGAAAACAUGGAAAGUAACAGAUUAAUAAUCUCUGACGUGAAAGAAUACCCUCAAAGAGCAAUCGCUCCAUGGCCAGAGAGCCACAUCUCCACCCGAAGGGAGGGACACAGCUGACGA
rnacentral:lncRNA from 1 species